rnacentral:rRNA from 1 species
AUUGAACGCUGGCGGCAGGCCUAACACAUGCAAGUCGAGCGGAUGAGAAGAGCUUGCUCUUCGAUUCAGCGGCGGACGGGUGAGUAAUGCCUAGGAAUCUGCCUGGUAGUGGGGGACAACGUUUCGAAAGGAACGCUAAUACCGCAUACGUCCUACGGGAGAAAGCAGGGGACCUUCGGGCCUUGCGCUAUCAGAUGAGCCUAGGUCGGAUUAGCUAGUUGGUGAGGUAAUGGCUCACCAAGGCGACGAUCCGUAACUGGUCUGAGAGGAUGAUCAGUCACACUGGAACUGAGACACGGUCCAGACUCCUACGGGAGGCAGCAGUGGGGAAUAUUGGACAAUGGGCGAAAGCCUGAUCCAGCCAUGCCGCGUGUGUGAAGAAGGUCUUCGGAUUGUAAAGCACUUUAAGUUGGGAGGAAGGGUCGUAACCUAAUACGUUGCGGCUUUGACGUUACCGACAGAAUAAGCACCGGCUAACUUCGUGCCAGCAGCCGCCGCGGUAA